rnacentral:tRNA from 1 species
UAAGGUAUAGCUCAGUGGUAGAGUACCUGCCUAGCAUGCAGGAGGUUCUGGGUUCAAUCCCCAAUACCUCCA